UACAGAGGUCUCAAGCGUUCGUUCGGAUUCAUUGGGCGUAAAGGGUGCGUAGGCGGCGCGGGUAAGUCGGGUGUGAAAUCUCGGAGCUUAACUCCGAAACUGCAUUCGAUACUGCCGUGCUUGAGGACUGGAGAGGAGACUGGAAUUUACGGCGUAGCGGUGAAAUGCGUAGAUAUCGUAAGGAAGACCAGUGGCGAAGGCGGGUCUCUGGACAGUUCCUGACGCUGAGGCACGAAGGUCAGGGGAGCAAACGGG
rnacentral:rRNA from 1 species